AAAUUGAAAAGGCUGAGAUUUGGGAAGUGCUGAAGGAUGGUGAUUUUGAAACAGUACUCAAUCAGAAAGAAUUUGUUGCCUGGAAAUCAUUCAAACUGG